UGGGGAAUUUUGGACAAUGGGCGCAAGCCUGAUCCAGCCAUUCCGCGUGCAGGACGAAGGCCUUCGGGUUGUAAACUGCUUUUGUACGGAACGAAAAGGCUCUGGCUAAUACCUGGGGCUCAUGACGGUACCGUAAGAAUAGGCACCGGCUAACUACGUGCCAGCAGCCGCGGUAAUACGUAGGGUGCAAGCGUUAAUCGGAAUUACUGGGCGUAAAGCGUGCGCAGGCGGUUAUGUAAGACAGAGGUGAAAUCCCCGGGCUCAACCUGGGAACUGCCUUUGNGACUGCAUAGCUGGAGUACGGCAGAGGGGGAUGGAAUUCCGCGUGUAGCAGUGAAAUGCGUAGAUAUGCGGAGGAACACCGAUGGCGAAGGCAAUCCCCUGGGCCUGUACUGACGCUCAUGCACGAAAGCGUGGGGAGCAAACA
rnacentral:rRNA from 1 species